UUUGCUGCUUUACCUGAGAAAACCUGCAGUUUACCUCUGAAUUUGAACAAAGGUCAAUCUGCAGGAAACCCGAUUGACAUUUCUUAACGAUUCAGUGGUAGAGAAGGGAUUUCCCCGGGGAAAGCAGCAGGGCAAGGGCAAAACCGCUUGGACCUGUGCCUGGGAAGCACAAGACAAGUGGAAGUCUGGACAAGGCCAAAGUGUCCUGGUGGGGCUCUGCUUGGCCACAGUAAUUUCCCCAAGGCCUCUCUUUUGGUUAAUGCAAAAUAACAAGGGCAGUCGUAUUACAGGCACAUAUUACAUUGCGGGACUGACACGUAGUGGAUAUUUUAAAUGUUAUGUUCUUAAGGUCCCUCCAGACAUUUCUGUUGCUCUGAACUGUAGGAUGAAGCCUGUAUCAGCUCAGGAGAAAGAAGCAGGUUUCCAUGAAAUGCUGAUCUGGGGGACCGGUUCCUGGAACCUCUCGAUUUUCUUCCUCAUCUGAGCAGAUUUUGCAAAGACUCAGAAGAAGAGACUUCUCGGUCAAAUACAAAAAAAGCCUGGGCGCCAUACAAGAUGGCAGUGACAACGUGAGUAGCCAUGCCAUGCUCAAAUACAGAUGGGAAUUUGCCUGAUCCUUGCACUUCAACCAGUCCCCCCAGAAAACUGACUCUGAGUGAUGCUGAGGCUUUGAGGGCAGAGGUCUUA